CUAAUACUCCUCCGUCCGAAAAUACUUGUGUCGGAAAAAGAGAUGUAUCUAGACGUAUUUUAGUUCUAGGUACAUCCAUUUUUACACAUUUAUAUGACAAGUAAUUCCGGACGGUAGGAGUAGUUA
rfam:Triticum urartu cultivar G1812 contig351443, whole genome shotgun sequence.